rnacentral:lncRNA from 1 species
UGAAUUCUGGGUGGUUCAUCCUCCUCCCUGCCCUUCUAAACAGAGAAUCAGAGAGAAAAUCCCCGACGGACUUCCCCGUCCCUCUUGUGUCGCUCCUGGCACCUAGUAAGGGAACAAGGAUGUACUCGGGAUCCUGUCGCCGAGAGAAAAAGUAAAGGGCACUGUCGCUCGGCACCAGGUUUUCAGGGGUCGUAACUACGAGGCAGAAACCCGAGUCGGGUCCACAGGAAGGGAGGAAGGGACUCGGGUCACUCCGCCGAGGCUUUCCCACGGUCGCUCCACCGUCUCCUUAACACCGGGAAACAGAAACACCCGUGGCGAGGAGCUGUCAGACAAAAGGGCAAGGAAGGAAGCUACAAAUCCUUUUCAAAAGGCAGAGAAAAGAAGUGAACAGCAACAACAAGAAGGAAAAAAAGGAAAAAGGUGCUUCCAGAUAACUGAGAUUUUUUUCUAAGGAGCAUGACACUUUUCACAUUAAACAACGACUAAGGAAAAGGAGAGAGUCUUGGUUACAUGAGAUGAAGAAGUGAGAAACCUACAGUGUGAAUGCUUAGACAACAAAGAAAUCAUUGGAGGAAAUCCAAAGUUUAUUUUUUUUAAUGGAGAUAGAGAAAGGGAGUAAGAAAAUGAAGAAAUAUUAUGAAUUUUUCAGUUAAUUUUACCUGUAAAUAUAUGCAUAUUAAAUAUUAUAUGGUUGCUGUGAUUGCAACAUUAAAAUGUGACCCAAGGAGAAGGUGCCUGCCUUUUUUUACUGUAUGAACUCUGACUGUUUCUUGACUUACAAAUUUUAUAAAGACCCCAAGGAUUAAAUCUUGUGUACUCCUGUGAUCAACUAAACAUGUAAAAGUUUAGACACUAGCCUCCUGGUACAUCUAUAAAGAUUAAUAAGAAAUUUUUCAGAUCAUACAGAAUUGAGAGUUGCUGAGAGAUCCUGCAGAGAGACCUCAACAAAUUAGAGGACUGGGGAAAGAGAAGCUGGAGAAGAGUGCUGGGCAAAGGACCUGGGGGUCUUGGUUGAUACAAAGCUGAACAUGAGCCAGCAGUGUCCUGGCAGCCAGGAGGGCCAUCCCUGUCCUGGGGACAUCAGGGACAGCAUCGCCAGCCAGGCAAGGCAGGGAUUGUCCUGCUCUGCUUUGCACUGGGGCAGCCUCACCUCCAGCGCUGGGGCAGUUUUGGGUGCCACAAUGUAAAAAGGACAUUAAACUAUUGCAGAGUGUCCAAGGAAGAGCAGCAAAGAUGGUGAAGGGCCCUGAGGGGAAGCCGUGUGAGGAGUGACUGAGGUCACUUGGUCUGUUCAGCCUGGAGGAGCCUGAGGCCAACCUCACUGCAGGUACAGCUCCUUGUGAGGGGAAGAGAGGGACAGACACUGAUCUCUGCUCUGUGACAGUGACAGGACCUGAGGGAAUGGCCUGAAGCUGUGCCAGGGCAGGUUUAGGUUGGCUAUCAGGAAAAGUUUUUCACCCAGAGGUGGUUGGGCACUGGAACAGCUCCCCAGGGAAGUGGUCACAGAACCAGCCUGACUGAGCUCAAGGAGGGUUAGGUCAGUGCUCUCAGGCAGGUGCUGUGGUUGUUAUUGCUGUCUUGUGUAGGGCAAAGAGUUGGAUUUGAUGAUCUUUUUGGGUCCCUUCCAACUCAGAAUAUUCAGUGAUUCUGUGAUAUUUUCUUUAUAUCUAGGGAUUUAAAAAAAAAAAAUAUUCCAUUCCUUAGGAUUUUAAGCUGGUUUCUCUCUCUUUGAAAGCAUUUGUAUACUUGUCCUUAUAUAAAACAUUUCUGCAGAGGUGUGGAAUAUUUUAAGACACCUCAGAAAUAUUCUUCCCUGGAUUUGCCAAUAGCAGAAGGAUUCAGCAGAUGGCAGGAUGUGGCCACUUCAAGACAGCCAAGAAUCUGGGCCCCCACCCUCCUUUCUGAGCAUGUGUAACCAAGCUGUCUGUCUGUCAGACAGUGGGAGAGAGACCAGUGUGGGAACUGCAUGUACUAUUGGAAAGCUUUUUAAUGAAUAUCACUGCCACAAUUAAGAAAUUAUCUUUAUGCAUUUAAACAGAGGCCCCACUUAUGUGCUGUAUGAAAUUCUUACUUUGUAUCUCUGGAAAUCAUAGAAUAUUUCUUUGCACUGGCUAGGAACCCACAACUUAGCACAUGCAUUAUGGCAAAUAUGAAAGGAUUCUUUUUUUUAUGAUCCAUUAAGAUUAAGAAGUACACGCACCCAUUGCCAACAAGCACACCAUCUAAUCAAUCUUGCAUUCCAUUAUUCUGUUUCAUACUAUUUUUGAUGGGAAAAUUCCACUGGGUGGGCUGUCAUCUCUUUUAUAAAUAAGGAAUAAAAUAAACAAACAAAUAACCUACUCACAAGCCAGACUGAUUCUAAGGCUCACAAGAUUCUCAUAUAUUAACUGACUGCAUCCCCAAGUAACAUCUAUUUUGCAUUGGAGUUCAAAUGAUUUCAAUGAAAAUAAAUGGCAGUUGUGCACAUUUGGGAAAGUAAGGAUAGACCCUGAAAUACAACACUGUUGCCUGGUUUUGAUGGAUUUGGAAGGCUUGCAACACAGCUUUCUAUCAGGGGAGAAAUCAGUGAUACAGAAUAUCUUAGAGUCAUGUAUUUGUACUGUGCACAAGUCACUGAACAUAGGUGGUCAUAGACUACAUGCAGGCUAAACCUUAUUUAGAAGUCUUAACCCAAAAGCCACUUUCAGGUUCUCAGGAAAUAAUUUUCACCAAGAACUGAAUCUAAUCAGAGAGCAUAAGAUAGGUUGAACUCCCUGGUUGUUUACAAAAGCUCCCUCAUAAACCUGAACACCAAAAACUAACAGUACAACAUUCCUUGAAAGUGCAUGUAUUCCUUGUAGACUAAGAAAAGGAAUGUGUAAGAUUAUAUUUAACAUGACCACCUGGUGACUCUGCUCCUACUAUAACAAAAGAAAGCUAAUAUUUUAAAAGGUGCUUAAGACUCUCUGACUUUAGUGUAAGUAACUUUUAUGUUCCAUAAAGAUUAAACACUGAAGUCCAACUCACAAAUAGGAUCCAAAAGUGGCCCGAAUGUAGCCCCCAGGUGCAGUAUUGUUGACAUGAACACUCUUUGGGUGUGGAAGUAGAGAUCUCGUGCCCAUGUUCAGUCAUCUGCACUGCAGGGAUCUCUCUCUGAGUUUACUGCCAACACUCCCUUUUCCACCUGUGAAGAGAAACAAAUUCUUCUGAGGUGGCAGUCAUCUCAUCCUGAAGUAAAUACCUGAACUAGAUGUGCUAAGACUUCACUAACAAUAAAAAAUCUGGCAAAGUGUACUGGCUGCAUGGUUUUCUACAUUGCUGAGGUCUAUAUUUGGGUGAGAUGAAUCCCACUGUUUGUGUUUGGGCAGCUUCCACAUAGAGAACUAGCCCAGUUUUGACAUUAAUGAGCAGCUUGUCACCUAUGUUGUGCUUGGACUCAAGUGAGCUCUGAAAGAAAGAUGUCUCU